CUAUCUCCUUUUUUGUUAAACAAAAAGAUUUAAUAUAUUUAGUAACGAUUGUUGAAGUGCGAGUAUUCAUGAUACUUAAACCUAAACAAAUGAUAAUUGUCUUUGCAAUAAAUUAAGACGACGGGCGCAAUUGGCCGAGAUAAAACUAGACUGGCUAGCGCUGUUCAACAAUACGCAAACUUUGUGUGGUACUCCUGUGUUAUCGAGAAUUUCAAUAUUGGCAGUUGACAAAAGAAUCGUAGUAUCAUGAUUGGGGAUAUUUGUAAACCAAUUAACCUCUUGAGUCGCCUGGUAGUGGAAGAUAUGCCUGGCGCUUGAGCACGCGAGGCAGGUUUUGCUGGUCCGGGCGAACUAUAGGGUGUUUUUUGUAUUCGCGAAAAAUGCAACAAAGAAUGAUGUUUUGACCACAUUCGCUGCAAGCAGAAGACGAGUUACUAUUGUGAAGUGUAUGCCGAGGUAGGUUAUGCACCAUUUAUUUUGGACACCGAUAAAUUGAGUCUUUAAUCCUGAUUUGAGAAAAAAUGAAGACAGAUCUUGGUUCAAUAGGAGAUUUUGAGUCGUAUUUGAGAGAGGAAGCGUUGUUUGUUGCUUAACGAGUAGUAGUCAAGAACUCUAUGAGUGGGAGUUGGAGCCUUUUGUGACAAUUCGAAUUGAGUAACAAAAGACAAAGUCGUUUUAACAAAUUAUUGAAGAGGACGAAAUCCCAAGAAUCAAUCGGUAGCUGAAAAGUUUGAAGAGCUUCUAAAUUCUCAUCAAAGGUAUUAAUUAGCGAUAUUAAUCAUCCGACAAACGGAUCGAAUUUUCAAUUUGUUGCCAAUGAAAUGUGGCGUUUGUUGAUAAAAGUUCUCCACGAUUUAAGAUCUCCAUUAAAUAUGAACAAUUUCAUUGGGGGUAACUUUACAUGUUCUUUUAUAGGCGCAUUAUUAAUUACGUUACCCGAGUUCGCUUGGUGAAUUAACGGUUGUUUCGAAUUGAAAAUUUCGUCAUAUUUGAUUCGGAUAUCAAAAUAAUCGUUAUCAAAUUGUCUUCGAAUGGCCUCUUCUAGAUCCAAAUCAUCAUUAAGAUUCACCAACUCCUUUAGAAUGUCAUUAUGACGUUAAUAAAAAUCCGAAUAAAUUCAUUUAAUAAAAUAUAUCUGGUUUUGAGUUCGGGGUAGUAUAAAGUUUCAUAAAAGAUAGUAUGCAAGUGUCGAGCGUAAAGACACACACAUGUUGUAAUGGUACACUCAAAAUUUUCGCAAUUUUCCUCUCGCCCACGACGUGAACAUCAAAAGAUUUUGUGUGGGGAGAUAUUUUCCGAAAAUGCUUUACGUUAAAUUGAAGUGAACAAUAUAAAGCAAUGUCUGAGCUGCCAAUAGAAUCUAGAUAUUUCAAAUCGCCCAUAGAGCUGACAUCGGAGGAAUGCUAAAGUCCCCAAAAAUUAAAACUUUCUUUGUCAUGCAUAUUGACCAAGGCCUGAAUAUCGUCAAAGAAACUCUUGUCGUCAAUGGUUUUGAGGAUGAAGCCCUAUAGACAUAACUCAGAAUAAAGGUUAAAUAUUUAUUAUAUAUUUUUAGAAACACUGACUCAAUGUCUCUGGUGUUAAUAUCCACGGUAAAGUUAUUCACUAUUGUAUCGGCAAUAUAAAUGCAUACUCCACCGCCCCUUUUUUUUACCCUAUCCGAGCGGUAAAUAGAGUAACCGUCACUGGACACUAAAGAAUCAGGAAUAAUAGGGGUCGACCAAGUUUCUGAUAUUAAAACAAACGAUACUUUUUCUUCGUAAACAAACGCACAAACUUCUUGUCGAAUUAAUUUCGCUGGUUUGUUGGAAAUAUCUUCUUAGGCUUUUCCCCUGACCGAGUUACUGAUUUUUUGUCUCACCAAUAAUUCUUCUUCAACAUUGUGAUUAUGAUUACCUUCUUUUCUUGAAAAAAACUGAAUUUAAUGUAUAAUGUAUACACAACUUUUCUUGGUGCACCGCCACACUGUUUCUUUACUUGUUUUUAACAUUCUGUAUUUCCGAAAAUUGUAUUAGCUGUUUCAAAAAUAUAAAAAUGCCAACGUCGCAUUUUACAAAGUUAUUUUUUAAAUAAGAUUGAUAAAAUUGUAAUAUAUUGUAAUUAUAGUUUUGAAACAGCUUAUAUUUUUCAAAAAUUAACAAUAACUGUCCACGUUGACUUAACAUAGCAUCUAAUUAUUCCACUUUUACGCUUUCCAAUAAAAGUAACGCCCGGUUGCACAAAAGAUAAUUGACCACUAAACAAAGCGUUAAUGGUCCAUCAAAAAUUUUGUGCAACGCAGAACAAGUACCUUUAACAGAUGAUUAACGAUUAAUCUAAUAUUUGAUGAAUAUCAACGAUAAUUGUCAAUUAGUCGUUGAUUAUCUUCGUUUUCCGUUGCACAAACGCAAAUCAACGCAUAUAUCAUAGUUAAUCAGUGAUUAACGAGUCAUCAAUUUAAUGGCCGAACGACGGGCGAUUAACCGGUAAUUAACCAAAUGUAUGUUUAUGUCACGUUUUUGAAUUAAAGAUUUAAGGUGGCAUCCGAGAACUGUUAAAAUGAUCAAAAAACAUGUGUUUUUACGCUUUUUUCUUUUAUACAUAUUUCAAAAUCAACAACAAUUUUCAACCGGAAACCAGUGUAGAGCCUCCAACUGGCACUUCCUUCCAGAUACAUCUUGAAAGCGGUAAUUUUUCGCCUGGAGGUGCAAAUGCAGAAUCGGAACAGGAAAGGAUAUUUCAGCAAUAAUGUCCAGGCGAUUUGUGAUGUUGAUUUGAAAGUGUUACAUAUUAUUUCCCGUUGGCCAGAAUCGGUACACGGCAGCACCAUUUUUAACAAUUCCCCUCUUCCGUCGGCUUCCGAGUGUGGAGAUAUGGUAAUGGGCAUCUAUUGGGCGAUGGUAGAUAUUCAUGCCAGCAGUACCUCCUCACUCCUGUUCCACAUCUACACAAUGCAAACCAAAUGCCCAUAUCAAGUCAAGAAACAAAAUUGAAAGUAUCUUCGGCAUUUUGAAGCGCCGAUUUCCUUCGUUUAAUUCUGGACUUCGAUUAAAGAUUGAUACAAUCGUCCAAGUUGUUGUUGCAUGUGGUGCUUUGCACAACAUCUGCAAAAAACCAAAUGACCACACUGAAGAAUAUUUUGAUGAAGUGAUAGAAGACUAUGAAAAAGAUUUUAUUUACCAAGAAAAUAAUAUGAAUAAUGUUAAUUUUGCAGUUUGAAAUUCUCUCAUAGAUACUAUUUUCCCUAGAUAAAAAAA